UUUGAUUAUGGCUCAGAUUGAACGCUGGCGGGCAGGCCCUAACACAUGCAAGUCGAGCGGUAACACAGAGGAGCUUGCUCCUUGGGUGACGAGCGGCGGACGGGUGAGUAAUGCCUGGGGAUCUGCCCGAUAGAGGGGGAUAACUACGGGAAACUGUAGCUAAUACCGCAUAACGUCUACGGACCAAAGUGGGGGCUCUUCGGACCUCAUGCUAUCGGAUGAACCCAGGUGGGAUUAGCUAGUUGGUGAGGUAAUGGCUCACCAAGGCGACGAUCUCUAACUGGUUUGAGAGAAUGACCAGUCACACUGGAACUGAGACACGGUCCAGACUCCUACGGGAGGCAGCAGUGGGGAAUAUUGCACAAUGGGCGCAAGCCUGAUGCAGCCAUGCCGCGUGUGUGAAGAAGGCCUUCGGGUUGUAAAGCACUUUCAGCGGGGAGGAAGGGUCACUAGUUAAUACCUAGUGGCAUUGACGUUACUCGCAGAAGAAGCACCGGCUAACUCCGUGCCAGCAGCCGCGGUAAUACGGAGGGUGCAAGCGUUAAUCGGAAUUACUGGGCGUAAAGCGCACGCAGGCGGUUUGUUAAGUCAGAUGUGAAAUCCCCGAGCUCAACUUGGGAACUGCAUUUGAAACUGGCAAGCUAGAGUCUUGUAGAGGGGGGUAGAAUUCCAGGUGUAGCGGUGAAAUGCGUAGAGAUCUGGAGGAAUACCGGUGGCGAAGGCGGCCCCCUGGACAAAGACUGACGCUCAGGUGCGAAAGCGUGGGGAGCAAACAG
rnacentral:rRNA from 1 species